rnacentral:lncRNA from 1 species
AUCCUCUUGAAAGCAUUCUGGUAAUUGGAGCUCUUCUUUUACUUCGAGCAGGUAAUGAACGAAUGGUGUAAAGCCAUCCAUAGAUAGAUCCAGCCGGACAUUGCAUGAUUUCUGAAAAAAUAAAGGAUGGCAAGCAUCAAAUUACAUCCAUGCCUCGCUGCCCAAUGUAUGACACAUCAUAUCAGAGUACUUGCGUAGUCCUUCUUUGUGCCAUC